rnacentral:rRNA from 1 species
CCUACGGGAGGCAGCAGUGGGGAAUAUUGCACAAUGGGCGAAAGCCUGAUGCAGCGACGCCGCGUGAGGGAUGACGGCCUUCGGGUUGUAAACCUCUUUCAGCAGGGAAGAAGCGAGAGUGACGGUACCUGCAGAAGAAGCGCCGGCUAACUACGUGCCAGCAGCCGCGGUAAUACGUAGGGCGCAAGCGUUGUCCGGAAUUAUUGGGCGUAAAGAGCUCGUAGGCGGCUUGUUGCGUCGGUUGUGAAAGCCCGGGGCUUAACCCCGGGUCUGCAGUCGAUACGGGCAGGCUAGAGUGUGGUAGGGGAGAUCGGAAUUCCUGGUGUAGCGGUGAAAUGCGCAGAUAUCAGGAGGAACACCGGUGGCGAAGGCGGAUCUCUGGGCCAUUACUGACGCUGAGGAGCGAAAGCGUGGGGAGCGAACAGGAUUAGAUACCCUGGUAGUCCACGCCGUAAACGUUGGGAACUAGGUGUUGGCGACAUUCCACGUCGUCGGUGCCGCAGCUAACGCAUUAAGUUCCCCGCCUGGGGAGUCGGCCGCAAGGCUAAAACUUAAGGAAUUGACGG